rnacentral:ncRNA from 1 species
UGGUAAAAGCUUAGUAGUUCUUAGUUGUGCUGUCUAAAACCAGUGAUGACUGCACAUGGAGGUGCGGUCAAGCAAUCAGUGACACGAUGUUGCAUUGAUUGCGGUCACGUUCGGUUAAAUUAAAUCAGCACAACUUAGAAAUACUUAGC